UGUGCGCUAGGGAUUGCAGCGGCAUCCUUUUUAGUGCUUUUCUGCACAAAAAAGAUAUAGCGAAAAGCCCGCCCGAGC
rnacentral:sRNA from 1 species